rnacentral:rRNA from 1 species
CCUACGGGGUGCAGCAGUAGGGAAUUUUCGUCAAUGGGCGCAAGCCUGAACGAGCAAUGCCGCGUGAACGAGGAAGGUCUUCGGAUCGUAAAGUUCUGUUGAAGGGGAAAAAGAGCGGAGAGAGGAAAUGGUCUCCGAUUGAUAUUACCCUUCGAGGAAGUCACGGCUAACUACGUGCCAGCAGCCGCGGUAAUACGUAGGUGGCGAGCGUUAUCCGGAAUGAUUGGGCGUAAAGGGUGCGUAGGCGGCCUGCUAAGUCUGGAGUGAAAGGUACGGGCUCAACCGGUACAGGCUCUGGAAACUGGCGGGCUAGAGAGCAGGAGAGGGCGGUGGAACUCCAUGUGUAGCGGUAAAAUGCGUAGAUAUAUGGAAGAACACCAGUGGCGAAGGCGGCCGCCUGGCCUGUUACUGACGCUGAGGAACGAAAGCGUGGGGAGCAAAUAGGAUUAGAUACCCCAGUAGUC